rnacentral:rRNA from 1 species
UACGUAGGGGGCCAGCGUUGCUCGGAAUUACUGGGCGUAAAGGGUCCGUAGGCGGUGUAGCAAGUCGAUAGUGAAAUCUCUGGGCUUAACCCAGAGGCUGCUAACGAAACUGCUGUGCUAGAGUGUGAGAGAGGCGAGUGGAAUUACGGGUGUAGCGGUGAAAGGCGUAGAUAGCAGGAGGAACACCGGUGGUGUAAACGGCUUUCUGGACCGUAACUGACGCUGAGGCACGAAAGCGUGGGUAGCAAACAGG